GCAGGCAUGGCGGAAUGGUAGACGCGCUAGCUUCAGGUGCUAGUGGGAGUAAUCCUGUGGAAGUUCAAGUCUUCUUGCCUGUACCA
rnacentral:tRNA from 1 species